GAUGAACGCUGGCGGCGUGCCUAAUACAUGCAAGUCGAGCGGACGGACGAGAAGCUUGCUUCUCAGUUGUUAGCGGCGGACGGGUGAGUAACACGUGGAUUACCUACCUCUCAGACUGGGAUAACUUCGGGACACCGGCGCUAAUACCGGAUAAUCUUUUGCCCCGCAUGGUUCAAUAGUGAAAGACUGUCUUGCUGUCACUUAUAGAUGGUUUCGCCCUGCAUUAGCUAGUUGGUAAGGUAACGGCUUACCAAGGCAACGAUGCAUAGCCGACCUGCGAGAGUGAUCGGCCACACGGGAGCUGAGACACGGUCCAGACGCCUACGAGAGGCAGCAGUAGGCAAUCGGACGCAAUGGGCGAAAGCCUGACAGAGCAACGCCGCGUGAGUGAUGAAGGUCUUCCGAUCGUAAAACUCUGUUAUUAGGGAUGAACAUAUGUGUAAGGAAAUGUGCAGAACUUGACGGUACCUAAUCAGAAAGCCACGGCUAACUACGUG
rnacentral:rRNA from 1 species